ACGCUCGACACCUACAGGAGGCAGCAGUAGGGAAUCUUCCACAAUGGACGCAAGUCUGAUGGAGCAACGCCGCGUGAGUGAAGAAGGUCUUCGGAUCGUAAAACUCUGUUGUUAGAGAAGAACACGAGUGAGAGUAACUGUUCAUUCGAUGACGGUAUCUAACCAGCAAGUCACGGCUAACUACGUGCCAACAGCCGCGGUAAUCUGAGCGGGCUGGCAAGGC
rnacentral:rRNA from 1 species